UCAGCCUUUCAUUAUAAUUGACUCAUCUGAACCAUUAAUUAUGAUGACUUUUUAUUAAUAAAAAAAAUAUUUUUUUAAAACCCAAAAAUAAAAAUCCUUCUCCAUUAUCUACCCACGUUCACUUUUAUUUUAGAUUUUGGUGUUUUCUUAUUCAUGGAAAAAUUUCUGAUAAUCGCCUACUCUGCUCAUCCUUUACCACAAACAUCAACGAAUACUCUAUAAACCAAUUUCUACUUUUCUUCAUCUAAGCCAAAACCAUAUACUUAGCAACUCAAAUUAUAAAGUUAUUUAAAAUCUGAAUUUCCUUCUCUUUGGAAUUGGAAGUUCAACAAGUCCUCAAAUUAGGGGUAAGAUGAGAGUUGAGAGUUCAGUUAUUCAAAUUAGAGGAGAAAGAAUUAGGGUUGAUUGAAUUAUAGUCUCUCUAGCUUCUGUGCUUAGCCUCUUUAAGUUUGUCGUCACAUUGGUACCAGUAAUAUUUCGGUACAUCAGAAAAGCAUGGCUUUGGAGGUAUCCUGUCAAUUUUGUUGUCAAUUUGCUUGUAUAACAGAAAGAGUCGAUAACACAUAUUUUAAUCUAUUUGUCUAGCUAUGUGCUUGUUUUUCAGGUUUUUUUUGGAAGGCCCUCACAAGUCACAAAGGAAUGGAAGAACUGCAUCUUAUGACUUCAUCUCUUCACUUUCUUUGCGGUUUUGAACUUUGUUGUUUAUUGCAAACUCUGUGGUUUAAUCCACUUAAAAACUGAUUUCACCUUCACACCAUGUGUGUAACAUAAUAUCUCUAAUUAUGUACUUUCUUGGAAACCUAUAAGGCUAUAACUUCUUUACAUCAUGCAAUUGAUGCACAUUUGAAACCUUCUUUGAAUUUGUUGGCAAUUACAGUGGGUGUAAAGCAAAAGGACAUAGUAAAUAAGACCAGCUUCCAUUCA